UCCAGCUCAUCCAGUCCAGAUGCGGCGCCCCGCGCGCCCCAAUCCCCGCCGCUGUCGCCGAAGCCCGGCCGCCGCCCCUGCGCCGUCCCCCGCCCCGGGAUCCAGACGCGGCGCCGUCCCCGAGCCCCGGCGCCGCCGUCCCCGACCCCCAGCCCCGCCCCCCAGUCUCGGCGCCGCCUCCCCCGACUCCCGUCGCCGCCGCGUCCCCGAGCCCCGACGCCGCCUCCCCCGAGCCCCGUCGCCGCCGUCCCCGAGUGGAGCCGCCAUCUGUGAGCCCCGGCGCCGUCCCCGAGUCCCGGCGCCGCCCCUGCUAGGAGCCGCCGGGCCGCCGUCGCGUUCUGCCUCUACGAGCAGAAGGUGAUCCCAAAAUGCAGUGCUUCCACAGGCAACUCGGUCGCCGCCACAUCGAGGGCCACGUGCUGACGAAGAGAGGUGAUUGUUGAGAAGGCUGAGAGAAGUGAUAUUCCUGACAUCGACAAGAAAAAGUCACUUCUCAACUUCUCUACUAGAUAUCUGAAAAUUAUUUCUACUUAGGCUGAGAGAAGGCUGAGAGCCUUACAGGUCCUCAAGGUCAUUGGAACAAGUUAGUGCGAGAAAGGAAAAAAGAAAUGGCUCCCUGAUGUGUGUAAACAGGCAAGCCCAAUGAAUAUCUUCUCUUUCUGAAACACUUCCUUUGAAUUGAAAAUAUUCACAUCAUCACAUGGGCAAUCCAGUUUGUGCGUGCUAAGAAGAGAUAGGGAUCGACUUCAUUCACUCCUAAAUUGCGUCCCAAAAAAUUUAUGCAUCUUGGUUAAGCAGCAGUGUGACUGCACGGAGUAAAUAUCUUUAUGCACACAUCCUUAUGUUUGUUCAUGGGACUGACUACCAAUUCAUCAUAAACCUAGCUAUUCCAAAUAUCUUUCUUUACAGUUUCAGAUGCAGCUCCCUAACCACAAUUUACCCCCAAACUCAAUGAAACCCUUAAGCAUGAUGCAACACAGAUCUUCAUAUGUUACAUGCAGAUAUUGGCGCAUUGCUCCUAGGCACCCAACAAGUGAUUAUCCUACAUGACUUGACAACAAAACAGAAACGAGAAUGCAGUUUCAAAGGGGACUGCAUGUGCAACGCACUUACAGGCUUGUGCUCGUGCUGAGACCAGCGAGCCAACAGCGAGAGCCUUCAUCACUACGGCCAUCCUGCAGCCUGGUGGCUCUUGAGGCAGCUGGCCGGGGAAGCUGGUGUCCAGAGGGAAGGAGAGGAGAGGGUAAAUGAAGGAAGAGCCGGGGGUUUUGUAACACUCUAGGUGUCUGCACAGUAGUUGUGUAUAUAUUAUAUGCAUCAUAUGCUUGAAUUGCUUGAAAAAAGAUCUUUUUGUAAAUAUAAAGGUUAUAU